rnacentral:rRNA from 1 species
UUCCCUGGAACGGGACGCCCCAGAGGGUGAGAGCCCCGUCUGGCUGGCCGCCGAGCCUCUUUAAAGCUCCUUCGACGAGUCGAGUAGUUUGGGAAUGCUGCUGGAGAGGGGAGGUAUAUGUCUUCUAAAGCUAAAUAUUGGCCAGAGACCGAUAGCGCACAAGUAGAGUGAUCGAAAGAUGAAAAGCACCUUGAAAAGAGGGUUAAAUAGUACGUGAAAUUGUUGAAAGGGAAGCGCUUGUGACCAGACUUGGGCGCGGCGGAUCAUCCGGGGUUCUCUCCUGUGCACUUCGCCGCGUCUAGGCCAGCAUCANUUCGUCGCGGGGGAAAAAGGCUUCGGGAACGUGGCUCCNCCGGGAGUGUUAUAGCCCGUUGCAUAANACCCUGCGGUGGACUGAGGACCGCGCAUCUNCNAGGAUGCUGGCGUAAUGGUCACCAGCGACCCGUCUUGAAACACGGACCAAGGAGUCNUCUUCCUAUGCGAGUGUUCGGGUGUCAAACCCCU